CCUUGUACACACCGCCCGUCACACCACGGAAGCAAGCAACACCCGAAGCCGGUGGCCUAACCCGCAAGGGAGGGAGCUGUCGAAGGUGGGGCUCGUGACUGGGGUG
rnacentral:rRNA from 1 species